UUUAUGGUCUCAGGUCUAACUUUAGGUCUUUAAUCCAUUUUGAGUUUAUUUUUGUGUAUGGUGCAAAUUGUGGUCCAGUUUUAUUGCUUUGCAUGUGGCUGUCCAGUUUU